UCCCAGCCCUGAUGGGAACGGCGUCCUUUUGUGGUGGGGUUCACCACAAAAGAUAUAGUGGACAGCAGGAUUAGCU
rnacentral:sRNA from 1 species